UUCGUUUCGUGAUUUGAGGUUGUGGUGGUGUGUUCUCUCCCGCUCCUUUAAAUCUGCAUCUGAGUUCGAGCACAGACGUACCUAAUUAAAUGACAGACACCAACACCGAGAUGGAACGUUGUCAAUUGGAUGACGUUGACGAGGGAAAUUCCAAUCCCUGGCCACAGUUGCACGACAAAAAAUAGGCAACACAGUCAUCAUGAAAUGUUGUCUUUUUAUUCCCAAACACGCAACCAUCUCUGCUUUCAAAAACUCAUGAUACCUCCGCAAGCACAUAGAGCACACUGUUGGUCCAAAGCAUCCAAUCAUUAUCUGCAGACAGUUUGAAGGUGACUUGAUGUGGAAGCCCGGGUGAAUGCUUGCUAUAGCAGCUGCUCAGCUCUUCACUGCCCUUCACAUUUCACUGGUCAGCUCGCAGUAAUCAACAUGAGUUACCCACACAGGGCGUGAUCCUAAUUAACUUGCACUGCACUGUACAAACACAGUGGGCCACAUAUGUGGGCCUCCCAGCAAGAGUCAGCUGAAUAACACUACAGGGCUCGAUGGCCCAGGCCGAGGUUGCGCGGAGAUGGUCAUCUUAAGUAAGCUUGGAUCGAGGCCGGAAUGUGUGGGAAAAAUCUGCCCUUCUGUCAGUUUUGCGGUGGUUCUAGGAACAGAUGUAGCCAAUGCGAUCUGGAUGUGGCUCCAAAUAAUGGACCAGUGCACGAUCAGUGUGUGGUCAUUUUGUUUCACUGAUGUAAUCAAACAUAACGUAUUAUUAGUUCUUGCAAUUUUUUCCCCAGCUCUUUAAUUGUUUCACUGCUCACAAGGAGAAAGUCUAAUAUCCAGUACAUUUCAGGCCAAACAAGGAGGGAUGGGAGUGUAAAUUAUAUCAGUGUGAAAGUUAACCGGAAUGUACAUGGGUAAAUGAGUAGCCCAUAUUCAUUAUUCAUGAGUGUUGAUUACAUCCCAUGAAUUAAGUUCAGAGUCAUCGCUUAUCC
ensembl:lncRNA